rnacentral:lncRNA from 1 species
UCUCGACACCCUCAUUCGACAACCCGACACCCCGCACCUCCACACAUUCUGUUCGACAACACCAUGUUCGCCGGAGAAGACUAGUCGUCACCGGAGUUCACCGGAGAAACCCCCGAAGCCCUCAGAGUAAACCGUUUCGCCGGAAUUGUUACGUCGGACCUCCGUUCUUCUUCGUUUCGGUAUACAUUUCUUGUUCCAUUUUGUUAUGUUCGUUAAUCUCUCUUGUACGUUCUCUUGGAUUAUUCUCCAUCUUUACUCGUGCGUUAAUACAAGAAGCGCAACGCAAUCAAUGUUGAUGUUCAAGAAAUAAAGA